rnacentral:rRNA from 1 species
AUUGAACGCUGGCGGCAUGCCUUACACAUGCAAGUCGAACGGUAACAGGUCUUCGGAUGCUGACGAGUGGCGAACGGGUGAGUAAUACAUCGGAACGUGCCCGAUCGUGGGGGAUAACGGAGCGAAAGCUUUGCUAAUACCGCGUACGAUCUACGGAUGAAAGCAAGGGACCGCAAGGCCUUGCGCGGACGGAGCGGCCGAUGGCAGAUUAGGUAGUUGGUGGGAUAAAAGCUUACCAAGCCGACGAUCUGUAGCUGGUCUGAGAGGACGACCAGCCACACUGGGACUAAGACACGGCCCAGACUCCUACGGGAGGCAGCAGUGGGGAAUUUUGGACAAUGGGCGAAAGCCUGAUCCAGCCAUGCCGCGUGCAGGAUGAAGGCCUUCGGGUUGUAAACUGCUUUUGUACGGAACGAAAAGACUCCUUCUAAUAAAGGGGGUCCAUGACGGUACCGUAAGAAUAAGCACCGGCUAACUACGUGCCAGCCGCCGCGGUAAGAC